rnacentral:rRNA from 1 species
GGGGAAUAUUGCACAAUGGGGGAAACCCUGAUGCAGCGACGCCGCGUGAGCGAUGAAGUAUUUCGGUAUGUAAAGCUCUAUCAGCAGGGAAGAAAAUGACGGUACCUGACUAAGAAGCCCCGGCUAACUACGUGCCAGCAGCCGCGGUAAUACGUAGGGGGCAAGCGUUAUCCGGAUUUACUGGGUGUAAAGGGAGCGCAGGCGGGAAGACAAGUUGGAAGUGAAAUCUAUGGGCUCAACCCAUAAACUGCUUUCAAAACUGUUUUUCUUGAGUAGUGCAGAGGUAGGCGGAAUUCCCGGUGUAGCGGUGGAAUGCGUAGAUAUCGGGAGGAACACCAGUGGCGAAGGCGGCCUACUGGGCACCAACUGACGCUGAGGCUCGAAAGUGUGGGUAGCAAACAGGAUUAGAUACCCUGGUAGUCCACACCGUAAACGAUGAUUACUAGGUGUUGGAGGAUUGACCCCUUCAGUGCCGCAGUUAACACAAUAAGUAAUCCACCUGGGGAGUACGACCGCAAGGUUGAAACUCAAAGGAAUUGACGGGGGCCCGCACAAGCAGUGGAGUAUGUGGUUUAAUUCGACGCAACGCGAAGAACCUUACCAAGUCUUGACAUCCCUUGACAGACAUAGAAAUAUGUUUUCUCUUCGGAGCAAGGAGACAGGUGGUGCAUGGUUGUCGUCAGCUCGUGUCGUGAGAUGUUGGGUUAAGUCCCGCAACGAGCGCAACCCUUAUGGUCAGUUACUACGCAAGAGGACUCUGGCCAGACUGCCGUUGACAAAACGGAGGAAGGUGGGGAUGACGUCAAAUCAUCAUGCCCUUUAUGACUUGGGCUACACACGUACUACAAUGGCGUUAAACAAAGAGAAGCAAGACCGCGAGGUGGAGCAAAACUCAGAAACAACGUCCCAGUUCGGACUGCAGGCUGCAACUCGCCUGCACGAAGUCGGAAUUGCUAGUAAUCGUGGAUCAGCAUGCCACGGUGAAUACGUUCCCG